rnacentral:rRNA from 1 species
CGUGUAGGCGGUCGGUCAAGUCUGAUGUGAAAGCCCGGGGCUCAGCUCCGGAAGUGCAUUGGAAACUAGCCGACUGGAGCGCGAUAGAGGAGGGUGGAAUUCCUGGUGUAGCGGUGAAAUGCGUAGAUAUCAGGAGGAACACCGGCGGCGAAGGCGGCCCUCUGGAUCGUUGCUGACGCUGAGACGCGACAGCGUGGGGAGCAAACAGGAUUAGAUACCCUGGUAGUCCACGCCGUAAACUAUGGGUACUAGGUGUUCGGGGUGUUGACCCCCUGAGUGCCGCAGCUAACGCAUUAAGAACCCCGCCUGGGGACUACGGCCGCAAGGUUAAA